rnacentral:lncRNA from 1 species
UCGAAGACUAAAACGCUCCCUAGGGCUUGAAAGUGAAACGAAUGGGUGAUAGCUUGGGAAGCCUUCACAAUCGACCUGAAACAAUCACAAAAUCUGAGUAUUCCCCGGAAAACACGUUGAGACGUAGAAAAGCCAAGUCUCCCUCGUGCUCCGGGAUUUGGUACGGUCCGCGUCAGGUGACGUAAGUCCGCUUCCGGCGCCUCGCGCAGAUUCGUCAUGGCUUCCACGGGGGCGAGUCGCAGCCUUGCUGCGUCUCAGCGGCCGCCGCAGGGCCGCUCCUCACGGCAGGACAAGUAUUCGGUGCUUUUGCCCACCUACAACGAACGGGAGAACCUGCCGCUCAUCGUGUGGCUGCUGGUGAAGAGCUUCUCCGAGAGGUAGACGGAACUUCUCGCGCGGGUGCCGGGAGCCAGCCGCGGACUGCAUGUCGGCGGUUGGCUCCGCGAGGAGACCCUCCGAGGCCUGGCCUCCUCUUCCUCCCGAGCCUGCUCGAGGCUCUUUUCCCGCUGGGGAAAACCGAGGCGAACAGCCCCGCAUCUGCAUCCCGGGCUCUCAUUCCUGCUCUGGUCUCUAGCGAGUCCUGUGUUUACCUAAUGACAGAUCGUUCUGGUGUCAGUCCCCCGCCUUUCUCUUGAAAGGGCUAACUUCACUUUUACUUCGGGGCGAGACUCAAAGCCUGACCUCAUCCCUCUUAAGGCGGUCAGGAUCUGCCGCCAGAGCCGGGAGUCCCGAGCCAGCGUUCUUACCAUCGCCUCGGGGCCGAGCGCUUACUGCAAUCAACUAUGAAAUUAUAAUCAUAGAUGAUGGAAGCCCAGAUGGGACAAGAGAAGUUGCUGAACAACUGGAAAAGAUCUAUGGGCCAGACAGAAUUCUCCUAAGACCACGGGAGAAAAAGCUGGGCCUUGGAACUGCCUAUAUUCACGGAAUAAAACAUGCCACAGGAAACUAUGUCAUCAUUAUGGAUGCAGACCUCUCGCACCAU